rnacentral:rRNA from 1 species
UACGGAGGAUGCGAGCGUUAUCCGGAUUUAUUGGGUUUAAAGGGUGCGCAGGCGGAAUGUCAAGUCAGCGGUAAAAUUUCGGGGCUCAACCCCGUCGUGCCGUUGAAACUGUCAGACUUGAGUUGGCGAGAAGUACGCGGAAUGCGCGGUGUAGCGGUGAAAUGCAUAGAUAUCACGCAGAACUCCGAUUGCGAAGGCAGCAUACCGGCGCCCGACUGACGCUGAAGCACGAAAGCGUGGGUAUCGAACAGG